CAAAAAAAAAAAAAAAAAAACAUUCAUAAAUGAUCAAUCAAUGUACAAUAUCAGGAAUGAAAUCAACUUAAGAUGUUUUGUUGCCCAGCACGGGGCAACAAUGAGUGAAAUAUAGCACCUGUCUUGGGAAACGGGGGAAUUGGGGAAUUCGCACUCAAAAAAAAAAAAAUAAAAAAAAAAAUCAAAAGCAAUAACACCAAAAAAUUUGCAAGAUAUUAAAUAUAUAAAUAUGUAACAAUUUCUUCUAUUCCCAGUACACUCUGAAAUCGUAUCCAUAAAACAUUCAGCUUUAAAACUAAUUGUCAAUCAUAAAUGUAAAGUGCACAUCAUAUCCAAUAAAAGUUUUUAAAUACUCCUUACCAUUCACUAAGAAGUUGUACAGUGUGUACCUGUUUACUAUUAUGUACAAUUAUCUCGAGAACACACAGUCAUUUGUACGGUAAUAAAUACAAUCACACUGGUAUUGGAGACCCACUUCUCUCACUCACAGAACCAAAAUAAAAAAAGUAGAAUAUUUCAGGGUUGUCUUCUCUUGGAACAUCGACUACAAUGCAGAAUAAAUAAAAUGAGAUAGUUUAAAAAAAAAACAAAAAAAACAAGCAAAUUUACAUAUCUACAUACUUACAAAUUAAAACAGGAGGGCUAUACAGCAUUAAUUAUUAUUUCUUUAAAUGCUUCUAAUAGUACUACUGCUGUUUAUAAAAAUAAAUCUUGAAUUUUUUUUGUUUUAAUAUUUGCAAUAAAAAGGAUAUUUCCCUACAUCAAGUUAUCACACAACAAGACAUUCUGCAAAGAAGGGUAUAUAUUAAAUAGACUACAAACGUUAAAUCAAGUUUUUCAUUCCUCAAUAAGUUCUCUUAAACAGGAAUAUUAAAAGGAAAAAAAAAUAAAAAGUCAUAACUUUGACAUUGCAGGAAUAAUAAAUAGAAAAUACAAAAAGGCAGCCCAAUGUCUAGACAGUCUGGAAUGCAUAAAGACUUUGAAAUAGUUUGGAAGAAAAACUAAAUGCUCAGAACUUUGCAACGAACAUGAAGAAUGGCAUUCAGUUGAUGAACGCAAAAAAAAAAAAAAAAA